rnacentral:lncRNA from 1 species
AAGGCAUCAAUGAUCUGUGAAUGAGGAAUGGAUAGUGCAAUACUGCCUGGUUAUAAUAUAGCAAUAUGUUGGCAGUAUUGCUGAAGUGAAUCUCAUAAUCCGGUAUUUAUUGCAAAGGCUACUCUUUCUACAGGCUUUGCAUUGAGAACGUCAAACAAGUCGUUCAGCUCCUUAGUGAAAACUUCGGUGCCUUCGCUGUUUUCCAGUCCUGGGAGCCCCUGGUUCCUGUAAAAUUCCAAGCCUAUGGCUGUUCCACGGCUGAAAAGCUGAAAAUAAGGGUACAACGGUAAGACAAGUUAGCACUGUUGCACUAUGCGCGCCUCAUAAUCAUAUUGUGCUUUUGACACAACAAACGCAACAGUAAUAAUGUUAACUAAUAUUGUUGACAUUGCUUGCUUGUAUCAUUUCAAUUGUGCCUUCUCACCUGUGCAGCAAGGCGUACAUUCAUCUUGCGCAAGCAGUCUGGUUCAAUGUGUGCUUGCGUCAGCUUUGGCACAAUACGAAGCUGCUGGUUCUCCUCGGCUUUGUACAGCAACCGGUAGUGAUCGUAGGCAACUUCACAGUUUCCAGCCUAGAAAAACACAUGCAAAUGAAUUGCACGAUAUCCUGAAUUGCGCCCACAUGGCCUUGUUGCUCCCGGCACCAUCACUGACGACUGCUAUCACUACUGCAUUUUGCUUGAAAAGUUCGAGAACAGCCUCAAGCACAAGCCUGGCAAGGACAUCACCUGGUGCAGCUCCCUUGCUGGCGAAGCUGGCGAUUGGCUGUACCCAGUUACUGAAUAAAGGCACAUACAUGAACACAA